UACAGAGGUCCCGAGCGUUGUUCGGAUUCACUGGGCGUAAAGGGUGCGUAGGUGGCAUGGCAAGUUUGAUGUGAAAGCUCAGGGCUCAACCCUGAAAUGGCAUUGAAUACUGCUGUGCUGGAGGUUUGGAGGGGGGACUGGAAUUCUCGGUGUAGCAGUGAAAUGCGUAGAUAUCGAGAGGAACACCAGUGGCGAAGGCGAGUCCCUGGACAACACCUGACACUGAGGCACGAAAGCUAGGGGAGCAAACAGG
rnacentral:rRNA from 1 species